UCCUGCACCCCCACCCCCACCACCUCAAGCUCCAAAACCACCUGGAACUGUACCCCCUCCACCACCAAGCUCAAAAAUCUCAAAUGCACCAGCACCACCUCCAGUAUUGGGAAGGGGAAGAGCAGCAACCGGAUCAGCAAAAGGUCGUGGCAUGGGAUUGGCGCUUCAAAGUAACCCCCCAAAGAAAGCUUCAUUAAAGCCUUUGCACUGGGUGAAAGUUACACGGGCAAUGCAAGGAAGUCUCUGGGCGGAUGCCCAAAAUCAAGGGAAUCAGGCUAGGGCUCCUGAUAUUGAUAUGUCCGAAUUAGAGACCUUGUUCUCCACUGCUGUUGCAACCAAUGCAAGUGAAAAAGGAGGAACGAAGCGUGGCUCAGCUAUUAGCAAGCCAGAAAUUGUUCACCUGGUUGAUAUGAGAAGAGCAAAUAAUUGUGAGAUCAUGCUUACCAAAAUCAAAAUGCCUCUUCCUGAUAUGAUUAGCGCGAUCUUGGCUUUGGAUACGUCUGUUCUUGAUAAUGACCAAGUGGAGAAUCUCAUUAAGUUUUGCCCUACAAACGAAGAAAUCGAGAUGUUGAAGAACUAUAACGGCAACAAAGAAAUGCUUGGAAAAUGUGAACAGUUUUUCCUGGAGCUAAUGAAAGUUCCUCGCGUCGAGUCCAAACUAAGAGUUUUUGCUUUCAGAAUUGCAUUCUCAACACAGGCUGAUGAGUUAAGAACUAACUUAACCACCAUAAAUGAUGCAACAAAAGAGGUGAAAGAGUCUCUGAAGUUACGGCAGAUAAUGCAGACCAUUCUCACAUUAGGGAAUGCAUUGAAUCAAGGAACAGCUCGAGGUUCUGCUGUUGGCUUCAGAUUAGAUAGUCUUCUUAAACUAUCGGAUACUCGAGCUAGGAACAAUAAGAUGACACUAAUGCACUAUUUAUGCAAGCUUCUUGCUGAAAAGUUGCCUGAGCUUCUUGAUUUUGACAAAGACUUGAUUCAUCUGGAAGCAGCUUCGAAGAUCCAAUUGAAGUUGCUUGCUGAAGAAAUGCAAGCAAUAAACAAAGGUCUUGAGAAGGUCGAGCAGGAAUUAGCUGCUUCAGUGAACGAUGGAGCAAUAUCUGUUGGCUUCCGCAAGGCAUUGAAAUCCUUUCUCGACUCGGCAGAAGCUGUAGUUAGGUCCCUCAUUUCCUUGUAUUCAGAAGUGGGAAGGAAUGCUGAUUCCCUAGCUCAGUAUUUUGGUGAAGAUCCAGCUCGCUGCCCUUUUGAGCAAGUUACGUCGAUUUUGGUUAUUUUCGUGAAUAUGUUCAAGAAAUCACGUGAUGAAAAUGCUCGAACUGUGGAAGCUGAGAAGAAGAAAAUGGAAAAGGAAAAGGCAAGUAUGUCUACUAUAAAAGGAUAGGAGUGAGGACAUUUCUAAGCCAAUCUUCCAUCUUUGUGACCCCGCUGAGGAGCUGCCGCAGAAUGUUAUACAUACACCGGAGCCCGCUUCUGCUUUUUGAUGCUCAAUGUAGUAUACGCAGAGGUGUAAUGUCAGAAGGCUUAGGCUCGUUGGCUGCGCGUCAUCCAAUAACAUGGUUGCUCGUGGUUUGCACGCUAAGGAACUUUUUGUGCUUCUCACUAGCGGUGGGUUCGUGGCAAACAUUCCUGAAACAAAAUGCAGGGAGGCUUCAGGCCGCUGUAGUGUUGUACAUAUAGCAGUUGCUGAUACAUAGCUUUCUUACAUGUACAUAAAGUUAGCUCAAGUGGAAGCAAAGCAAAAUAUCAUGAUUGUUGUAAAAUUUCUUGUAUCAUCAACAAACAAGUAGACUGGUGCCAUUUUUGCAGUGCGCGCGAGCCAGUUAACGAAGCUCCUACAAGGCUUAUCGUGCCUUUAUGCAAUUAUUAUUGUUGUUACAUGCAGUGGGCGCCUGAAGGAUGUGUCUGGUGCUAAGGAGGGCCUUUUUUUUAGGGAAUGCCAUCAUGGCUUACUUUAUUAAUCAAAUAAGCACAGUUACGUCG
rnacentral:rRNA from 1 species